rnacentral:lncRNA from 1 species
GCGAAAAGAAAGACUGAAAAUGCCAUCUGACCAGUUGAAGGGAAUCAGGGGAAGCUUUCUAAAGGAAGUGGCAUUUGGUCUAUACGUUGAGGGGCAGGUAAAUAUCUGAGUGGAAUGACUGGAUCAUAUGAUGAGGAAACUGAGGCACAAAAAGGUGAAGUCCUGAGCUCACAGUCAUGCAACCAGCAGGUGGUGAAACACACCUCCAAGCUGCCUGCCUCCUAAGCAUCAAGCUUUGUGGCCCAGGAUCUACUUCAUGCUCCAAAUAUUCAUGGACCUUCCCAGGACCUCAACAAAACAAAACCAUGAAGAAAAACCUUGACAUGAACCCCAAAAAAACCCAGUCAGCAAUAUUUUAAGUUAAAUUUUGAAACAAAUCCAAACGGGUUCCUCCCCAUAAAUCUACCAGUAAAUUGUGCAGAAUCAGAACUGAAGCCAUGCCCUUUCUUAAAGUAUUGAAUUAGAAUAAAUGAGAACAUCUAAAUAUUUUCCAAAUUCAUAUUCCAGUUAUAAUAUUCAAGUUUCUUAGUUUCUCUCUGUUCACAUUCAACAUGAAAUAGUCCCAUUAGUCAGUAGCAAGAGCUGCAACAUUUCUACAGGUACUAAAGGAUGUGAUCAGAGCAGGGAAGAUGGCCAACAAGAUGAUGCCACUCUAGCGGGUGCCCAUCCAAAUCAUAACCCAUGAAUACUGCGGCUUUAUUAUCUUGGACAACAGAAAGCUGAUCUUGUAAUUGGAUGAUCACCCCUGCUUGCAUGCUUUCGAGUAGUUACGUAUGACAAAAGGAGCUACUGGUUUUGUGAUGAUGGGUUUCUGGGUAAACCCUAGAUGCAGAAGCAGCUUUUAAGCAUAGCAGAGCAAGAGUCAAAUGGUUCUGAAAAAAGUUUUAACUCUGAGAUGACUUCUCCCCGCUUCUUUCACUCUACCCUCUCAAUCCUAGAGCAAGUGAGCAGAGUAGGUAAAGCUGUUUCCUCCAGAAAGAUGAUCCAUAUUUUAAACAGCUCUGUGAAUGGGGCACUAAGACUCAGAAGAUCUGGUUUUCAGUUCGCAUUCUGCCUUUAACUGGUCUUGAAAGUUUGGGCAACUCAAUUAUCUCAUGGAGUCAGUAUUUGCAUCUGUACAGUGGGGAUAUGAAUACCUGUCUUACCUACACGGAGCUGUAAGAGCAACAGAAUGUGAGCUGGCAUGAUGUUAUUAUAUGUAUCACCUUGGUUAUUUUAAAACAUGCUUGAUGUAUUAGCCUCUCUGUUUCCUCUUGAGUUUUCCUGCAGAGAUGUCUUUUAAACCAAGCAUCACUCUCCCAAUCAGAGACAGGGCUAACUAGAUAGACAAAUGAGAAAGAGAAGUCGGGGAUGGGAUGGGAGCACAGCCAAUGCAGAAACAGUCAUGUGUAUUCUUCUAGACAGGUGAGCAGAGACAUUUUCAGGAUUUCAGGGGGGCAGGAUGGAGACAUGGGGGAAGCUU